UACGAAGGGGGCUAGCGUUGUUCGGAUUUACUGGGCGUAAAGCGCACGUAGGCGGGUCGUUAAGUCAGGGGUGAAAUCCCGGAGCUCAACUCCGGAACUGCCUUUGAUACUGGCAAUCUCGAGUCCGAGAGAGGUGAGUGGAAUUCCGAGUGUAGAGGUGAAAUUCGUAGAUAUUCGGAGGAACACCAGUGGCGAAGGCGGCUCACUGGCUCGGUACUGACGCUGAGGUGCGAAAGCGUGGGGAGCAAACAGG
rnacentral:rRNA from 1 species